rnacentral:rRNA from 1 species
CGCACGGGUGAGUAACGCGUAUGCAACUUGCCUAUCAGAGGGGGAUAACCCGGCGAAAGUCGGACUAAUACCGCAUGAAGCAGGGAUCCCGCAUGGGAAUAUUUGCUAAAGAUUCAUCGCUGAUAGAUAGGCAUGCGUUCCAUUAGGUAGUUGGCGGGGUAACGGCCCACCAAACCGACGAUGGAUAGGGGUUCUGAGAGGAAGGUCCCCCACAUUGGUACUGAGACACGGACCAA